rnacentral:rRNA from 1 species
GACGAACGCUGGCGGCGUGCUUAACACAUGCAAGUCGAACGGAAAGGCCCUGCUUUUGUGGGGUGCUCGAGUGGCGAACGGGUGAGUAACACGUGAGUAACCUGCCCUUGACUUUGGGAUAACUUCAGGAAACUGGGGCUAAUACCGGAUAGGAGCUCCUGCUGCAUGGUGGGGGUUGGAAAGUUUCGGCGGUUGGGGAUGGACUCGCGGCUUAUCAGCUUGUUGGUGGGGUAGUGGCUUACCAAGGCUUUGACGGGUAGCCGGCCUGAGAGGGUGACCGGCCACAUUGGGACUGAGAUACGGCCCAGACUCCUACGGGAGGCAGCAGCGGGGAAUAUUGCACAAUGGGCGGAAGCCUGAUGCAGCAACGCCGCGUGCGGGAUGACGGCCUUCGGGUUGUAAACCGCUUUCGCCUGUGACGAAGCGUGAGUGACGGUAAUGGUAAAGAAGCACCGGCUAACUACGUG